GUCUAUGGCCAUACCACCCUGAUCCCAAUGUCGUCUGAGCUUGUGAAGCUAAGCAGGGGCCGGCCUGGUUAGUACUUGGAUGGGAGAAGCCCAAGUGACCUUUCUUU
rnacentral:rRNA from 1 species